rnacentral:rRNA from 1 species
GGGUUGUGAGGUUAAGCGACUAAGCGUACACGGUGGAUGCCCUGGCAGUCAGAGGCGAUGAAGGGCGUGCUAAUCUGCGAUAAGCGCCGGUAAGGUGAUAUGAACCGUUAUAACCGGCGAUACCCGAAUGGGGAAACCCAGUGUGAUUCGUCACACUAUCAUUAACUGAAUCCAUAGGUUAAUGAGGCGAACCGGGGGAACUGAAACAUCUAAGUACCCCGAGGAAAAGAAAUCAACCGAGAUUCCCCCAGUAGCGGCGAGCGAACGGGGAGGAGCCCAGAGCCUGAAUCAGCAUGUGUGUUAGUGGAAGCGUCUGGAAAGGCGCGCGAUACAGGGUGACAGCCCCGUACACAAAAGCGCAUGUGCUGUGAGCUCGAUGAGUAGGGCGGGACACGUGGUAUCCUGUCUGAAUAUGGGGGGACCAUCCUCCAAGGCUAAAUACUCCUGACUGACCGAUAGUGAACCAGUACCGUGAGGGAAAGGCGAAAAGAACCCCGGCGAGGGGAGUGAAAAAGAACCUGAAACCGUGUACGUACAAGCAGUGGGAGCACCCUUUGGGGUGUGACUGCGUACCUUUUGUAUAAUGGGUCAGCGACUUAUAUUCUGUAGCAAGGUUAACCGAAUAGGGGAGCCGGAGGGAAACCGAGUCUUAACCGGGCGUUAAGUUGCAGGGUAUAGACCCGAAACCCGGUGAUCUAGCCAUGGGCAGGUUGAAGGUUGGGUAACACUAACUGGAGGACCGAACCGACUAAUGUUGAAAAAUUAGCGGAUGACCUGUGGCUGGGGGUGAAAGGCCAAUCAAACCGGGAGAUAGCUGGUUCUCCCCGAAAGCUAUUUAGGUAGCGCCUCGUGAAUUCAUCUCCGGGGGUAGAGCACUGUUUCGGCUAGGGGGCCAUCCCGGCUUACCAACCCGAUGCAAACUGCGAAUACCGGAGAAUGUUAUCACGGGAGACACACGGCGGGUGCUAACGUCCGUCGUGAAGAGGGAAACAACCCAGACCGCCAGCUAAGGUCCCAAAGUCAUGGUUAAGUGGGAAACGAUGUGGGAAGGCCCAGACAGCCAGGAUGUUGGCUUAGAAGCAGCCAUCAUUUAAAGAAAGCGUAAUAGCUCACUGGUCGAGUCGGCCUGCGCGGAAGAUGUAACGGGGCUAAACCAUGCACCGAAGCUGCGGCAGCGACGCUGAUGCGUUGUUGGGUAGGGGAGCGUUCUGUAAGCCUGCGAAGGUGGCCUGUGAGGGUUGCUGGAGGUAUCAGAAGUGCGAAUGCUGACAUAAGUAACGAUAAAGCGGGUGAAAAGCCCGCUCGCCGGAAGACCAAGGGUUCCUGUCCAACGUUAAUCGGGGCAGGGUGAGUCGACCCCUAAGGCGAGGCCGAAAGGCGUAGUCGAUGGGAAACGGGUUAAUAUUCCCGUACUUGGUGUUACUGCGAAGGGGGGACGGAGAAGGCUAUGUUGGCCGGGCGACGGUU